GCAUGAUGUCACCUGCCUGUGAUACCAACUGUAUUUUGGGCGCAGUUGGGUAGAUGAGCUGUGUCCUCGGCCCUGACCAGCGCUGAGUCAGUGUUUCUGUUGCUCCUCAUUGUAUGAAAGGAGAGGAAGAGGCCAGCAGUGCCCUUGAACCCACUGCUGGUUUGCCAGUCAUGGUGGGUUGGGAUGCACACCUGUGAUUCCGGUCUCCACUUUGACCCUGUGUUUGUGCUUUCUGCUUUCAUCACUGUAUGAUGAAGCAGCUAGGAGCACAGGAAUUUCUCUUAACGUCUAACUUUAUACCACAUGCUGACAGUUAGUGCCUAAAAUACAGUGCGUGUAUUAUUUUUACCCUCUUCACAGCCCAUCGUGUCCCCAGCAGGAGAGACCGUGGAGGGACCAGGGACAGGCGCUUAGGCCUGUGACUGAUCCUCUGGAUUCUGAAACCAGAGCAGCCACCCUUUUUGCUGACAUUAACCUGGAGAGUGAUCAAAGCACAAGAAAGGGGAUAACUUAAAUCUAUUGGUAUUUACUUAGUUGGAACAUUAUUUUACUUAUUUAUUUUUUUGGCGAUAGAAUCUUAGAUUCUGUUUGCCAGGCUGGAGUACAGUGGCACAACCAUAGUUCACUGCAGUCUCCAUCCCCUGGCACAAGUGAUCCUCCUGUCUCAGCCUCCCAAGUAGCUAGGACCACAGGCACACACCACCAUGCCUAGCUAAUUUCUUAUUUUUUUUUUGUAGUCAUGGCGUCUUGCUAUGCUGCUUAGGCUGGUCUUGAACAGCCUCAAGCCCUCCUCCUGCCUCAGCCUCCCAAAGCCGAGGAUUACAGGAUUAUAGGCAUGAGCCAGCAAGCCCAGUCUAGAACAUUCUUUAUCCUUCCUAUUUUCCUCAGAUACUUUCACUCUUUUUUUAAACUUUAUUUAUUUUUUAUAGAGACAGGGUCUCACUAUGUUGCCCAGGCUGGUCUCUAACUCCUGGGCUCAAGUGAUCCUCCCACCUUGGCCUCCCAAAGUGCUGGAAUUACAGCGAUGAUAUUUUCACUCUAAAAAGAUAGAAAGUAUAUUGACCAGCCUGGCCAACAUGGUGAAACCCCGUCUCUACUAAAAA
rnacentral:sRNA from 1 species